UCUUGACCUUGUAAGACCCCA
rnacentral:siRNA from 1 species